rnacentral:SRP_RNA from 12 species
GCUGGAAUUUCGGACCAAAGGAGAAGGCAGCCCGCCCCUUCACGGAGAUGGCGGGGUAGAGCGCGACAUCUGUGGGCACCGUGUCAGGCCCAAAGGCAGCAGCCGCAUCCCAGACACCAUUUGUAGAGAAACG